GCAGAUAAGAACCAUUCGGCCCAUCUAGUCUGCCCAAUUUUAUAAAUACUUUAAUUAGUUCCUAGUCUUAUCUUAUAGUUAAGAUAGCCUUAUGCCUAUCCCACGCAUGCUUUACUGCUUUACAUGCUUUACCACGCAACUCCUUUACUGUGUUAACCUCUACCACUUCAGCUGGAAGGCUAUUCCAUGCAUCCACUACCCUCUCAGUAAAGUAAUACUUCCU